UACAGAGGGUGCGAGCGUUAAUCGGAAUUACUGGGCGUAAAGCGUGCGCAGGCGGUUUGUAAGUUUGUCGUGAAAGCCCCGGGCUCAACCUGGGAAUGGCGAUGAAGACUGCAAGGCUUGAAUCUGGCAGAGGGGGGUAGAAUUCCACGUGUAGCAGUGAAAUGCGUAGAGAUGUGGAGGAAUACCGAUGGCGAAGGCAGCCCCCUGGGAUAACACUGACGCUCAUGCACGAAAGCGUGGGGAGCAAACAGG
rnacentral:rRNA from 1 species